AUUGAACGCUGGCGGCAGGCCUAACACAUGCAAGUCGAGCGGAGCGGCGGACGGGUGAGUAAUGCCUAGGAAUCUGCCUGGUAGUGGGGGAUAACGUCCGGCAACGGGCGCUAAUACCGCAUACUAUCAGAUGAGCCUAGGUCGGAUUAGCAAGGUGGUGGUGUAAAGGCCUACCAAGGCGACGAUCCGUAACUGGUCCGAGAGGAUGAACAGCCAAACUGGAACUGGGACACGGUCCAGACUCCUCCGGGAGGAAGCGGUGGGGAAUAUUGGACAAUGGGCGAAAGCUUGAUCCAGCCAUGCCGCGGGUGUGAAGAGGGUCUUCGGUUUUUAAGGCACUUUAAGUUGGGAGGCGGUACCAGCAGAAUAAGCACCGGCUAACUUCGUGCCAGCAGCCGCGGUAAUAC
rnacentral:rRNA from 1 species